rnacentral:rRNA from 1 species
GAUGAACGCUAGCUACAGGCCUAACACAUGCAAGUCGAGGGACCGGCGCACGGGUGAGUAACACGUAUCCAACCUGCCCUUUACUCGGGGAUAGCCUUUCGAAAGAAAGAUUAAUACCCGAUAUAAAGGAUGGGGAUGCGUUCCAUUAGGUUGUUGGUGAGGUAACGGCUCACCAAGCCUUCGAUGGAUAGGGGUUCUGAGAGGAAGGUCCCCCAGAAUGGAACUAAGGCCCAGUCCAAACUCCUACGGAGCGGAGCAGAAAAGGAUAUUGGUGAAUGAGCGCUAGCCUGGACCAGCCGAGUAGCGUGAAGGAGGAAGUGUUAUGGGUCGUAAACUUCUUUUAUAUAAGAAUAUGUAUUAUAUGAAUAAGGAUCGGCUAACUCCGUGCCAGCAGCCGCGGUAAUUC